rnacentral:rRNA from 1 species
GAUGAACGCUAGCUACAGGCUUAACACAUGCAAGUCGAGGGACCGGCGCACGGGUGAGUAACACGUAUCCAAUCUGCCCUUUACCCGGGGAUAGCCUUUCGAAAGAAAGAUUAAUACCCGAUAUAAAGGAUGGGGAUGCGUUCCAUUAGGUUGUUGGGGAGGUAACGGCUCACCAAGCCUUCGAUGGAUCGGGGUUCUGAGAGGAAGGUCCCCAGAAUUGGAACUGAGGCACGGGCCAAACUCCUACGCGAGGCAGCAGUGAGGAAUAUUAGUCAAUGGGGGCUAGCCUGAACCAGCCAAGUAGCGUGAAGGAUGAAGGCUUAUGGGUCGUAAACUUCUUGUAUAUAAGAAUAUGUAUUAUAUGAGUAAGGAUCGGCUAACUCCGUGCCAGCAGCCGCGGUAAUAC